CCUACGGGUGGCAGCAGUGAGGAAUAUUGGUCAAUGGACGCGAGUCUGAACCAGCCAAGUAGCGUGAAGGAUGACUGCCCUAUGGGUUGUAAACUUCUUUUAUAAAGGAAUAAAACGAGGCACGUGUGCCUUUUUGCAUGUACUUUAUGAAUAAGGAUCGGCUAACUCCGUACCAGCAGCCGCGGUAAUACGGAGGAUUCGAGCGUUAUCCGGAUUUAUUGGGUGUAAAGGGAGCGUAGAUGGGUUGUUAAGUCAGUUGUGAAAGUUUGCGGCUCAACCGUAAAAUUGCAAUUGAUACUGGCAGUCUUGAGUACAGUUGAGGUAGGCGGAAUUCGUGGUGUAGCGGUGAAAUGCUUAGAUAUCACGAAGAACCCCGAUUGCGAAGGCAGCUUACUAAGCUGUGACUGACAUUGAUGCUCGAAAGUGUGGGGAUCAAACAGGAUUAGAUACCCCAGUAGUC
rnacentral:rRNA from 1 species